rnacentral:rRNA from 1 species
UACGUAGGGGGCGAGCGUUGUCCGGAAUUAUUGGGCGUAAAGCGCACGCAGGCGGUUCGCUAAGUUCGAGGUGACAAUCACCGGCUUAACCGGUGAACGAUUUCGAAAACUGGCGGACUUGAGAGCGAGAGAGGGACAUGGAACUCCGGGUGGAGCGGUGAAAUGCGUAGAGAUCCGGAAGAACACCAAUAGCGAAGGCAGUGUCCUGGCUCGUAUCUGACGCUGAGGUGCGAAAGCUAGGGGAGCGAACGGG